rnacentral:rRNA from 1 species
UACGUAGGGUGCGAGCGUUAAUCGGAAUUACUGGGCGUAAAGGCGUGCGCAGGCGGCUUCGCAAGUCAGGCGUGAAAUCCCCGGGCUUAACCUGGGAAUGGCGUCUGAAACUACGGAGCUGGAGUGUGGCAGAGGGAGGUAGAAUUCCACGUGUAGCGGUGAAAUGCGUAGAUAUGUGGAGGAAUACCGAUGGCGAAGGCAGCCUCCUGGGCCAACACUGACGCUGAGGCGCGAAAGCUAGGGGAGCAAACAGG